rnacentral:rRNA from 1 species
UCUGGCUCAGAGCGAACGUUAGCGGCGGGCCUAACACAUGCAAGUCGAACGCGAAAGGUCUUCGGACUGAGUAGAGUGGCGCACGGGUGAGUAACACGUAGGUAAUCUACCCUUUGGCGGGGGAUAACGUUCCGAAAGGAGCGCUAAUACCGCAUAAGACCACGGAGUCUCCGGACGCUGUGGGAAAAGGUGGCCUCUUCUUGAAAGCUACCACCGAAGGAUGAGCCUGCGUCCCAUCAGCUAGUUGGUAAGGUAAUGGCUUACCAAGGCGAAGACGGGUAGCUGGUUUGAGAGAAUGAUCAGCCACACUGGCACUGGAACACGGGCCAGACUCCUACGGGAGGCAGCAGUGAGGAAUAUUGGGCGAUGGGCGAAAGCCUGACCCAGCCACGCCGCGUGAGUGAUGAAGGCCCUCGGGUCGUAAAGCUCUGUGGAGAGGGACGAAAACCCUGGUUUCAAAUAGGCUCCAGGCUUGACGGUACCUCUUUAGCAAGCACCGGCUAACUCUGUG